AGACCAUGAUGCGGGCAUUUCCUUAGUAGCUCCUUGAACCUUUCCCAUGUCUCGUACAAGGAUUCCCCAUCUUCUUGAGAGGAGGUUUUGAUUUCGCUCAUGAGUUU
rnacentral:snoRNA from 2 species